GACGAUCGCUGCGGCGUGCUUAACACAUGCAAGUCGAGCGAUGAAGCUCCUUCGGGUGUGAAUUAGCGGCGAACGGGUGAGGAACACGUGAAGAAUCUGCCUUCAACUCUGGGAUAACUCCGGGAACCCGGGGCUAAUACCGGAUAUGAGCCUUGAUCGCAUGAUCGGGGCUGGAAAGUUUUUCGGUUGAAGAUGACUUCGCGGCCUAUCAGCUUGUUGGUGAGGUAAUGGCUCACCAAGGCGACGACGGGUAGCCGGCCUGAGAGGGCGACCGGCCACACUGGGACUGAGACACGGCCCAGACUCCUACGGGAGGCAGCAGUGGGGAAUAUUGGGCAAUGGAGGAAACUCUGACCCAGCGACGCCGCGUGAGAGGAUGAAGGCCUUCGGGUUGUAAACCUCUUUCAGUAGGGAAGAAGCGAAAGUG
rnacentral:rRNA from 1 species